AUUGAACGCUGGCGGCAUGCUUUACACAUGCAAGUCGAACGGCAGCACGGGUGCUUGCACCUGGUGGCGAGUGGCGAACGGGUGAGUAAUGCAUCGGAACGUGCCCAUGAGUGGGGGAUAGCCCGGCGAAAGCCGGAUUAAUACCGCAUACGCCCUUAGGGGGAAAGCGGGGGAUCUUCGGACCUCGCGCUAUUGGAGCGGCCGAUGUCGGAUUAGCUAGUAGGUGAGGUAAAGGCUCACCUAGGCGACGAUCCGUAGCUGGUCUGAGAGGAUGAUCAGCCACACUGGGACUGAGACACGGCCCAGACUCCUACGGGAGGCAGCAGUGGGGAAUUUUGGACAAUGGGCGCAAGCCUGAUCCAGCCAUGCCGCGUGAGUGAAGAAGGCCUUCGG
rnacentral:rRNA from 1 species